GACGAACGCUGGCGGCGUGCCUAAUACAUGCAAGUCGAGCGGGACUCUUCGGAGUCUAGCGGCGGACGGGUGAGUAACGCGUGGGCAACCUGCCUGUAAGACUGGGAUAACACCGGGAAACCGGUGCUAAUACCGGAUAAUCCUUUCCCUCACAUGAGGGGAAGCUGAAAGACGGUUUCGGCUGUCACUUACAGAUGGGCCCGCGGCGCAUUAGCUAGUUGGUGAGGUAACGGCUCACCAAGGCGACGAUGCGUAGCCGACCUGAGAGGGUGAUCGGCCACACUGGGACUGAGACACGGCCCAGACUCCUACGGGAGGCAGCAGUAGGGAAUCUUCCGCAAUGGACGAAAGUCUGACGGAGCAACGCCGCGUGAGCGAUGAAGGCCUUCGGGUCGUAAAGCUCUGUUGUCAGGGAAGAACAAGUAUCGGAGUAACUGCCGGUACCUUGACGGUACCUGACCAGAAAGCCACGGCUAACUACGUGCCAGCCGCCGCCGUAA
rnacentral:rRNA from 1 species